ACUCCGAAACUGCAUUCGAUACUGCCGUGCUUGAGGACUGGAGAGGAGACUGGAAUUUACGGUGUAGCGGUGAAAUGCGUAGAUAUCGUAAGGAAGACCAGUGGCGAAGGCGGGUCUCUGGACAGUUCCUGACGCUGAGGCACGAAGGCCAGGGGAGCAAACGGGAUUAGAUACCCCGGUAGUCCUAGCCGUAAACGAUGGACACUAGGUGUUGGUGGUAUCAACCCCACCAGUGCCGAAGCUAACGCAUUAAGUGUCCCGCCUGGGGAGUACGGCCGCAAGGCUAAAACUCAAAGGAAUUGACGGGGGCCCGCACAAGCGGUGGAGCAUGUGGUUCAAUUCGACGCAACGCGAAGAACCUUACCUGGGCUCGAAGCGCAGUGGACCGGGAUGGAAACAUCCCUUGCCCGCAAGGG
rnacentral:rRNA from 1 species